AGGAAGCUCAUUUGACUCUCCUCUUGAUUGUACAGUAGCUAGUGUUGACCUAAGUCAAACAGUGUAAAAAUAGGCACCAGUGAGUGUGGGGCUGCUCUCAUGAGGGCAAUACAGGCUUGAAGGAGAAUAUGCUGGUCAUAAAACCACGUCUGUGUGGGAUCAAACUUCAAGACUUGAAAGAUGUUUUGCUCUGUCCACAAAAGUGAUACAGAUCUCACUCAGUUUGAAUAUCUGAAACCCACUGUGCCCACUGUGAAGUUCAACUGCUUCUAUCUGACAUGAUAGAGGGAGCUCAAGAUCAUGAGUGCUCUUAUCCUGAAAUGAGUCUCAGAGGCUGUGAGACACCUCCUAGAGGGGCUACCGUGUAUUCUGGGAUGGGUCUAAUUCAGCCUAACCACCUCUACUUUGAAAGGACUAAAAUUAGGUGAGGUUAAUUCUUCCCAUUCCCCAACCCCCAGAGAAUCCAACGUGUUUCAGACUGCUGUGGCUCUCAUGUCUCAGAAGCAAAUGUUAAGGCCUUUAUUUAGCUGAGGGAUCCUCCUGUGUGUUCUGCCCAGACUCACAGGUGAAAACUUUACCUUGUUGACAGCAAAGGAGAGCUCUACAGCAAAUGAUUCUGGCCCAGAAAGCUAUUGGAUCCCCUUCAGUCCCUUUCUUGAAGUUAUUUCAUGGGUUUAGCUGGACUUUCCUUCACAAACAAAAUUGGAGCAUGAUGGCUACUGGCAUGUUUGUGAAGAUCCAACCAAGAGGACCAGUGGGACUUUAAUCCCCACUAGAUGUGCCCACUCCCAGUCCUCAAGGCAAAAACUACAGCACCCUGGGUGUUGGUUUGUGUGUCAGAGAAUUUGCACAUCCUGGUGGAGCUACCCUGCUGAACACGGCCUUGGAGGAGGUCUCACUUUGUGUAAUCAUCCACUCUAAAGCUUCUCCACAGCUUGAAAUUCAUUUUUGUAUGGAAAAGAAGGACUUUAUAGGCAGUAAUACUUCAAGAAGUCAAGACGUUCUCCUUUGUACGGGGAGACACUUAAGCCCUUCAUGGGAUUUGGGGGGGGGAAGAGAAAGGGAAAAAAAACCUAAAAUCCGUGGUAGCUCAUCCUUGAAGGACAUACAGUUCCACUGCACAGCUGCAUAGGAAAAGAUACUCACUUUGUUCUGCUUUAUAUUUUUUUGUUAAAGGUCUGGAGCUUAAAUUUUAAAGCAAGCCUUCGGGAACACACUGUGAUGCAGACCAUCAGUAUGAAUAAAAUGUGUUAACAGGGAUAUGCUGAAUUUAGUGAGAUGUUUGGCAAUGUCUGUAUCACAGUGGGGAACUACUUAGUUGUGGCAAUGCGGAGCGGUGGUUUGUUGUUGUUUUUUUCUUUUUGCUAAGGAAAAGACAGAAUACAAAUGAGGUUGCUGCAGAAUGCCGGCUAGUGGGAUAUAUAUACAACGUGCAGCCCGGCUAUUUUAUUGUUUAAAAAAAUGAUGGCAAUACUAAAACCUUAAACUUCUGACCUAUAAAGAUAGAAUGGUAGAGCAGUUCUUUCUUAGUGUUCUUGUUAUCAUUCUAUAAAUCAGAAGCAUAAACUAAAA
ensembl:lncRNA